CCUACGGGAGGCAGCAGUGGGGAAUUUUGGACAAUGGGGGAAACCCUGAUCCAGCCAUGCCGCGUGAGUGAAGAAGGCCUUCGGGUUGUAAAGCUCUUUCAGACGGAAAGAAACGGUUACGGCUAAUACCCGUGACUAAUGACGGUACCGUCAGAAGAAGCACCGGCUAACUACGUGCCAGCAGCCGCGGUAAUACGUAGGGUGCGAGCGUUAAUCGGAAUUACUGGGCGUAAAGCGUGCGCAGGCGGUUUUGUAAGACAGGCGUGAAAUCCCCGGGCUUAACCUGGGAACUGCGUUUGUGACUGCGAGACUAGAGUGCGUCAGAGGGGGGUAGAAUUCCACGUGUAGCAGUGAAAUGCGUAGAUAUGUGGAGGAAUACCGAUGGCGAAGGCAGCCCCCUGGGUCGACACUGACGCUCAUGCACGAAAGCGUGGGGAGCAAACAGGAUUAGAUACCCUGGUAGUCCACGCCCUAAACGAUGUCAACUAGGUGUUGGGGAAGGAGACUUCUUUAGUACCGCAGCUAACGCGAUAAGUUGACCGCCUGGGGAGUACGGUCGCAAGAUUAAAACUCAAAGGAAUAGACGG
rnacentral:rRNA from 1 species